rnacentral:rRNA from 1 species
UACGGGGGGGGUAAGCGUUGUUCGGAAUUACUGGGCGUAAAGGGCUCGUAGGCGGCCAACUAAGUCCGACGUGAAAUCCCUCAGCUUAACUGGGGAACUGCGUCUAAUACUGGAUGGCUUGGAUUCGGGAGAGGAAUGCGGAAUUCCAGGUGUAGCGGUGAAAUGCGUAGAUAUCUGGAGGAACACCGGUGGCGAAGGCGGCAUUCUGGACCGAUAUUGACGCUGAGGAGCGAAAGCCAGGGGAGCAAACGGG